rnacentral:rRNA from 1 species
UGGGGAAUAUUGCACAAUGGGCGAAAGCCUGAUGCAGCAACGCCGCGUGAGUGAUGAAGGCCUUCGGGUUGUAAAGCUCUGUCUUCUGGGACGAUAAUGACGGUACCAGAGGAGGAAGCCACGGCUAACUACGUGCCAGCAGCCGCGGUAAUACGUAGGUGGCAAGCGUUGUCCGGAUUUACUGGGCGUAAAGGAUGCGUAGGCGGAUACUUAAGUCAGAUGUGAAAAUCCCGGGCUUAACUUGGGAACUGCAUUUGAAACUGGUUAUCUAGAGUGCGGGAGAGGAAAGUGGAAUUCCUAGUGUAGCGGUGAAAUGCGUAGAGAUUAGGAAGAACAUCAGUGGCGAAGGCGACUUUCUGGACCGUAACUGACGCUGAGGCAUGAAAGCGUGGGGAGCAAACA